CGGGAUGAGCUCAAAUUUGUAAUCUGGCGGUCUUUCGGCCGUCCGAGUUGUAGUCUGGAGAAGUGUCUUCUGUGCCGGACCGUGUACAAGUCCCUUGGAACGGGGCGUCGUAGAGGGUGAGAAUCCCGUCUUUGACACGGACUGCCUGGUGCUAUGUGAUGCGCUCUCGAARAGUCGAGUUGUUUGGGAAUGCAGCUCAAAUCGGGUGGUAAAUUCCAUCUAAAGCUAAACAUUGGCGAAAGACCGAUWGCGAACAAGUACCGUGAGGGAAAGAUGAAAAGCACUUUGGAAAGAGAGUCAAACAGUACGUGAAAUUGUUGAAAGGGAAACGCUUGAAGUCAGUCGCGUCUGCCGGGACUCAGUCGGGUUUUUUUUUCUACCCSAUGCAUUUUCCGGUGUCGGACGGGCCAGCAUCGAUUUUGACCGUCGRAAAAAGGUCUCGGGAAUGUGGCACCUUUCGGGGUGUGUUAUUARCCCGAGGUCGUAUGCGACGGUCGARAUCGAGGAUCGCARCAUGCCCUCCCUCCCGAGGGGGGGCCGGGGUUUCGCCCAUGUAACAUGCUUGGGAUGCUGGCGUAAUGGCUUUAA
rnacentral:rRNA from 1 species